UUUAUUUUCUCAUGAUUCUCAGGGAUCCUCGAGGCGCUUGCUUCAACUACUACAUCUAGCUUCUCAUGAAAUUGCUCUGUGAUUCUCGAUGCGUGAAUUUGAAGUGUUUCGCUCUUGUUGAGCUUUCUCAAUAGAACGCCCAAUUAUGUUUCACCCUUGCUUUAAGGCGCAUAAAAUAUUUUACAUAACAAUAAAAUUGUUAAUUAUUUUGAGCGAUCUUGCUACACUUAAGGACCGAAUCACCCCAUUUGAUAUGAUCCAAGAUCUUAUAUUUAUAUAUAAUAAUUAGCAUAAUAAUACAAUUUGACUAUCAUAUUUGUAGCGAUCUGGCGACCAUUGAUAUUAUUUAAUCAGCUCGAACUUCGAUCCCUCGUCGAUCAAUGUGAAUAUGAGCUGAUCGCCGGCUGCGCGUAACUCAGCGUGGCGACAUCUUGUACAUGUAUGCGUGCAUGUAUGGCUGUAUGCUAUAUACAUACAUACAUAUUUUUAAUACAGUUAUAAAUUUGCUCAAAACAUAAACGUGACAUUGAUCUACAGCCGUUGGGUGAAUCACAAACGAUCUUGCUGAUCUUUUUGUUUCUCACAGUCCGAGAACAGAAGGAAGUAUUCUUUCAGUACUCUGAGACAGUUUGCGUAAAUUUCGGCGAUUUUAUAAAAGCAAGAGCUACUUAAAGUGAUCGCAGGGCAACUUUUUGAUCACCAAAAAGCAAAAAGCAAAAAAUAUAAGAGAAGCAUAUCAAAGCAAAUAAAAUCAGACAAGAACAACAUGUGAACGAUUGCAAAUUACAAGCAUUGAAAGCAAGCAAGAGACCAAACUCUCUGUCUUUGUCUGUGUCUGAUCGUCUGGCUGCGGGUCGGUUAAUAUCUGGCGAUCAGGAGGACGCAAUGGACCAGUUUACUUGAACUUUAAGUCAUGCCCUAACGGAUCAAGUAUUCGCAUUUUCUGACGGCCUCUGUAAUAUGUUUGCCAGCUCUACUCAGAGGAGAUAAUCAGUUGAUUUACUCAUCCUUUACUUUAUCGUGUAUCAUAAAUAGUUCUCUUUAAACUAAGCACUCUUUAUAGUUAGCAUUAUGAGCACGUUAGCUAAUACCUCUAUCGGAAUCAGCCUCUAUUGGAUUGUCAUUAACCUAGAUUGAGCAGAAUAUGAUGUAUUACUAAAACCCUUAUUUAUUUAACUUUUUAAGAUCACGUUUUUCGCUUAAUAUCCCAUCUGAAGAGCAUUCGGUUUUCUGUGUCUGUAAGAUAGUUGAUCGCGUUUUUCUCUCAAGUUCCUUUUUUUGGACUCUUGGCUGGCAGCUGCUUCUUUUUGGUUUGUCGUCAUUACGAAAAGGAAGCUAAAGACAAACGGAUAUGCGUUGCACAUCAAGCAACUGUUUUUUGUUUUCUUCUCUUUAGGGCUUUUCACUUCUUGGCGUAAAAUAAAUUGUGCGACAGGUGCGACGAUGUCGACAACUGGACCCCAAAAAAAAAAAAAAAAAAUCAACUAAAACCAAAAAAAUAAAAAAAUAAGCCCGAAUAUAAACCAAAAAGUAACAUUAACCGCAGAAUCUGCUGCAAAGCUUUGGUUGCGCCUCACGUAUGUGUGGGAGCGAAGCUUUCGAUCCUUUGUCGAUCUUCUUCGAUCUUACAGCUGCGCAUAAUUGCCAAGUCUCGACUGCAACUGCGACUGCAUUUACAAGACGCAGCUGUUACUUCCGCCUGAAUGAGUUCUUAGGGUUUACUUAAGGUAUCGGAGCAACGAUUGUUGCCCUGGCUCUGGCUCUGGCUCUGGCUCUGGCUCGUCUAAGGCUCUGGCUUACAAUAAGCUGGCUACUUAGACGCACGGCUCGUUGUCUUGAUCCUUUCUCUUUCGCUCCAGCUCUUUCUAAUGCUAAUCCUGCACAGUGAACCGGGGCAGCUCGCUACCUGCCGGCUGGCUCUGCUCUCGAUCUUAUACUCCCGCUUGCGGGUGCUCAGACAUCCUAUUGAAUUAAUGUGCGGCAUUAGCAGCCAACAGGUUUGCGUCUACUGUGCCAGCAGACAUCGACAUCCUUUGCUUAUUUUGUUUUUGGCCUCUUACUAGGAAAAUCCCGCAACGAUCGUGGCACGCAUGGAUCAUGCAACGUUUUAGGGUUAUAUACACUUUUUGGGCACGUAGCCCAUCGAGAAUAUUAGCUCAAAAUAACAGGUGUUGACUGAUUAGUUUCAAUGGAUCUUCGCGGGUGCGAUCGACAGAUCCGAGGAUCGGCCCUGCAAUGCCUGGCGGCACGUAUCAAAUUGAUGACUGAUGAUCGACUAUGUGGCCUAUGUAGCGAUUGCCACCUGUACGAGAAUACAGCUUUGGGUACAGUUGCGAUCGCUUCGACCGUUGCUCAUGGCAGAUGUUUGCAUAUCGCAUUGAAGAUCACCACACACACAAACACACACACACACUCACAUAUACAGACACAAUUCUUUUCAAAAGCAAAUACUCGUUGUGUGCUGUCCAUGGACCUGCAGCUGGCCGAGGCUUCAUAUUUUGCAUUUCGAAAAUGCAAACAACAAGCGAAACGAAACGCAACGAAAACAACAUUUUUGCCAAAUACAAAAGGAUCAGUCGCUCACAGACAAAAGGCAUCCUGCUGCAGCCAGGACAUGCCGCGUUAGCCGAAAGUCCUGCAUUUCCGUUGAUUUAUUAUUCUGUUCCAUUGAUUGAUCUACAGCGAAAUUUACUUGCGGCUUAAGCAAAACACAAAAGAACAGUCCAAGAAAGAGAUAGUUCAAAUAUGUAUCUAUACCUCGUAUUAUCUGUUGCACGGGAUCUUGCGCAAGCGGAUUUUACAUUUCAUUUACCUCGAGCACUGGUUUUCGAAGAUCGAUUGAUUCGUUGUUCGCUGGGAAAAUGAAUUUGUCAGAGUUUUCCUUGCAAUUUUCCCAGACUCAAUUCGCUUAAAUCUUUACCGAAGAUCUUUAUAAGAAUCUGUCCAAAAUUCAAACUGUUGUUGUAUAGUCGCUCUACUACCCUCAAAUAUAUGAUACAAUUAAUUAAAGCGUAGUAUAUAUUUUCGAAUCCCUCGAUCGUAUACCAGAUCAGUGUAACUUACGAUCAUUAGCACAAAUGAUGUUUAUAUGGUACUAUAUAAAUGGAUCUUUGGGCGUCAAUGAACUUUCGUACGAACGUAACCACACGAUUCAGGCAGAAGAUCGGAGCAGUGAUCGCUGAUCAUCGACUGAUCUUUGACUCUGUUUGCGAUGCCAGGUUCGAUGUUUGCUCAACAAAAACAAAGCCCAGGGUAAAAAUGUAACUGAAAUUGUGUUUACACUUACCUGAAAGCAAAUCAAGCGUGGAUUGAGAUCGCUUUUAUCUUCAAUAACUUUUUCAAGUUCAUUCGGCCAGCAGCAUCCUUUUGCUGCAAUUCCACAAAAUGUUUAUGAGACUAUAAAAAAAACAAGAGCAUAAAAAAAAAUUAAAAAUUAAGCGAGCUUUUGGAUUUUGUUCCUCUUUUGAUUUACAAACUUCCGGUUGUUUUUUUAGAGCGCUCGUAAUUUGAUCUGUUUAUGCGUUAAGAUAUUCGCAUAAAGUUGGCAAAAACAAAAAUGAAAAAAAAAAACACAGACGACAGCUGAACGCAAAGCUUGCACGUGCAACGUUUACACAUCAAAUAAACAAAAGAAAGAUGUAGAAAAAAUUAGUAUUUGUAACAAUUAAACGGAAACGUCACAAAUCUCGUUUGUUGCAUUUCCCAACAAGAGACUAAAAAUUUCAAUAUGAAUGCAUAUAGCCUAGGGCAAAGAAAUAUAUAUACAUGCAUACACACAUACAUGUGUGUAUGUAUAUGCACUUAUAUAUAUAGGUGUAUAAUUAUGGCUGUUAGUUGAUCUUCAGGAAACUCGCAAGACACAAAGGCGCAUUGCAUUUGCAAAAAGGCCUACCCAACUCAAAGACGACAAGGAUAAGGACAAGGACAAGGACAAGGACAUGGGACUGAGCCAAAGAACAACAAGGGCAAAAGAAGCUGCGCAAAAACAAAUAUGAAAAAAAAAGAGAAAUAAAAGCGUGAGAAUUCGUUUGCUCACGACGCAGUUCCACAUUUAGCAGCGGCAACUUUUUGGGGAUAAUCACAGCAUCCUUUGGGCUAAACCACCCCAUUUUACGUUGUCCUAGUGGGCCAAUGCGUAACAUUUGCCAUUCCAUUGGGGGUUGCAUAAAUUAUAAAUCAAGAGUACCAAUUCAAGUGCGUAGUUGCAGAACACCUUUGAUUGCUUUUUAACAAGUUUUACGCGUUUUUAAAAUCUCAUAUUUGUGUAUGUCAAUUGUUUGGCAAUAAGACCAACCCCAUGGCGAAUCGGUAAACUGGAACCCUGUUUGGAGAUGAGUUACGCA